rnacentral:lncRNA from 1 species
CAAUUGUAGUAAUGCUCGCCAAUCAGUCGUAGGCAGGGCGGAGUGCAUGGAGAGCUCACCGACCAUUCACGGCCAGGUAUAGGCUAUGACAGAGAGGGUGAGGUUGACGACAGUGCCGGGGUUCAUGCCACACACCUCCGCGCCCAGCGUCCAGGGCCGCGUCCCGAAGGGGUACAUGCCGUCCUUCCCCGGCGUCCACCAGGCUGACACCUCGCCAGCCUCGGGAGGGGAACACAGCGGGUUUGUUAUGAGACCUACCUUGAGAGACUGGAGGAACCAGGAGCUGUUUUGCCAGAAGAUGUCAGAGUGGUAGAACCCAGCGAGGGAGGGGCGGCUGGUGCCACGUUCGUCCACCAACACGUACUGAUAGUUGAAGG